rnacentral:rRNA from 1 species
GUCGAGAAUCUUUGGCAAUGGGCGAAAGCCUGACCAUGCGACGCCGCGUGUAGGAUGAAGGCCUUCGGGUCGUAAACUACUGUCUUGAGGAAAGAAGGGUCAUGCGACUAAUAGUCGUGAGAUCUUGACGGUACCUCAAAAGAAAGCCACGGCUAACUCCGUGCCAGCAGCCGCGGUAAUACGGAGGUGGCGAGCGUUGCUCGGAUUUACUGGGUGUAAAGGGCAAGUAGGCGGUCCUGAAAGUCCUGUCUGAAAGGUGUCAGCUCAACUGGCACACUGGGCAGGAUACUACAGGACUAGAGGUCGGAAGAGGCAAGCGGAAUUCCCGGUGUAAGGGUGAAAUCUGUAGAUAUCGGGAGGAACACCAGUGGCGAAGGCGGCUUGCUGGUCCGAUUCUGACGCUGAGGUGCGAAAGCUAGGGGAGCAAACAGG